UACAGAGGUCUCAAGCGUUGUUCGGAUUCAUUGGGCGUAAAGGGUGCGUAGGCGGCGCGGUAAGUCGGGUGUGAAAUCUUGGAGCUUAACUCCGAAACUGCACUCGAUACUGCUUUGCUCGAGGACUGGAGAGGAGAUUGGAAUUCACGGUGUAGCAGUGAAAUGCGUAGAUAUCGUGAGGAAGACCAGUGGCGAAGGCGGGUCUCUGGACAGUUCCUGACGCUGAGGCACGAAGGUCAGGGGAGCAAACGGG
rnacentral:rRNA from 1 species